rnacentral:rRNA from 1 species
UACAGAGGGGGCAAGCGUUGUUCGGAAUUACUGGGCGUAAAGGGCGCGUAGGCGGCCUGUUAAGUCGAACGUGAAAUCCCCGGGCUCAACCCGGGAACUGCGUCGGAUACUGGAUGGCUUGAAUUCGGGAGAGGGAUGCAGAAUUCCAGGUGUAGCGGUGAAAUGCGUAGAUAUCGUCUGGAACGCCGAAGGUGAAAACAGCUCGCUGGGGCUGCGCUGACGCUGAGACACGAAAGCCAGGGGAGCGAACGGG